ensembl:lncRNA
GGACGAAAGAGCAGACAGAAGUGUUUAUAAAGCUCCGGGGAGAGAACGAUGAGCUCUUCACCGGAGCAAAGAACUCUGCCACUGUGGGAUGGAGGAUAGUUUUGGAGAAGAUGGGCCUGUCUGGUAAAGUGACACCAGCCCAAGCAAAGAAAAAGUGGGACAAUUUAAAAAAGAAAUAUAAAGAAUGCAAGUAUCCAGGGUCAGGAGAGGGAGUGAGUGGGAAGCCCACUGCUGCUACUUGGCCCUGGUUUGUCCAAAUGGAUGAGGUUUUAGGACAAAGGCCUUCAAUUUGCCCCCCUGUCCUUAUUGCCUCCAUCCCUAUGGACACUCCAGGGCCAAGUGCAGCAGUGAGUGACCA